rnacentral:rRNA from 1 species
GUUGUAUGGUUAAGUGACUAAGCGUACACGGUGGAUGCCUUGGCAGUCAGAGGCGAUGAAAGACGUAGUAACUUGCGAUAAGCCCAGAUUAGGUAGUAACAACCAUUUGAGUCUGGGAUUUCUGAAUGGGGAAACCCACGUGCAUAAGCACGUAUCCUUACCUGAAUACAUAGGGUAAGGAGGCGAACCGGGGGAACUGAAACAUCUAAGUACCCCGAGGAAAAGAAAUCAACCGAGAUUCCGAAAGUAGCGGCGAGCGAAAUUGGACUAGCCCUUAAGCUUUACACGCGUUAGACGAACGGUCUGGAAAGUCCGACGAUACAGGGUGAUAGUCCCGUAGUUGACGACGUGUGUUCAGUGAAAUCGAGUAGGGCGGGACACGUGAUAUCCUGUCUGAAUAUGGGGGGACCAUCCUCCAAGGCUAAAUACUACUGACUGACCGAUAGUGAACCAGUACCGUGAGGGAAAGGCGAAAAGAACCCCUGUGAGGGGAGUGAAAUAGAACCUGAAACCGUGUACGUACAAGCAGUAGGAGCAGGCUUUGUCCUGUGACUGCGUACCUUUUGUAUAAUGGGUCAGCGACUUAUAUUCAGUGGCAAGGUUAACCAUCUAGGGGAGCCGUAGGGAAACCGAGUCUUAACUGGGCGUUCAGUCUCUGGAUAUAGACCCGAAACCAGGUGAUCUAGCCAUGGGCAGGUUGAAGGUUGAGUAACAUCAACUGGAGGACCGAACCGACUAAUGUUGAAAAAUUAGCGGAUGACUUGUGGCUAGGGGUGAAAGGCCAAUCAAACCUGGAGAUAGCUGGUUCUCCCCGAAAGCUAUUUAGGUAGCGCCUCGGACGAAUACUACUGGGGGUAGAGCACUGUUAAGGCUAGGGGGUCAUCCCGACUUACCAACCCUUUGCAAACUCCGAAUACCAGUAAGUACUAUCCGGGAGACACACGGCGGGUGCUAACGUCCGUCGUGGAGAGGGAAACAACCCAGACCGCCAGCUAAGGUCCCAAAUUACUACUAAGUGGGAAACGAUGUGGGAAGGCUCAGACAGCCAGGAUGUUGGCUUAGAAGCAGCCAUCAUUUAAAGAAAGCGUAAUAGCUCACUGGUCGAGUCGGCCUGCGCGGAAGAUGUAACGGGGCUAAGUAGUAAACCGAAGCUGCGGCAAUAUACUUUUGUAUAUUGGGUAGGGGAGCGUUCUGUAAGCGGUUGAAGGUGUGUGGUAACGCAUGCUGGACGUAUCAGAAGUGCGAAUGCUGACAUGAGUAACGAUAAAGGGGGUGAAAAACCUCCUCGCCGGAAGACCAAGGGUUCCUGUCCAACGUUAAUCGGGGCAGGGUAAGUCGACCCCUAAGGCGAGGCCGAAAGGCGUAGUCGAUGGGAAACGGGUUAAUAUUCCCGUACUUCUUACAAUUGCGAUGGGGGGACGGAGAAGGCUAGGUGGGCCUGGCGACGGUUGUCCAGGUUCAAGUGCGUAGGCUUAAGAGUUAGGUAAAUCCGGCUCUUUUUAAGGCUGAGACACGACGUCGAGCACCUACGGGUGUGAAGUCAUUGAUGCCAUGCUUCCAGGAAAAGCCUCUAAGCUUCAGAUUGUAAGGAAUCGUACCCCAAACCGACACAGGUGGUCGGGUAGAGAAUACCAAGGCGCUUGAGAGAACUCGGGUGAAGGAACUAGGCAAAAUGGUACCGUAACUUCGGGAGAAGGUACGCUCUCGACGGUGAAGUCCCUUGCGGAUGGAGCUAUUGAGAGUCGCAGAUACCAGGUGGCUGCAACUGUUUAUUAAAAACACAGCACUGUGCAAAAUCGUAAGAUGACGUAUACGGUGUGACGCCUGCCCGGUGCCGGAAGGUUAAUUGAUGGGGUUAGACUUCGGUCGAAGCUCUUGAUCGAAGCCCCGGUAAACGGCGGCCGUAACUAUAACGGUCCUAAGGUAGCGAAAUUCCUUGUCGGGUAAGUUCCGACCUGCACGAAUGGCGUAAUGAUGGCCACGCUGUCUCCACCCGAGACUCAGUGAAAUUGAAAUCGCUGUGAAGAUGCAGUGUACCCGCGGCUAGACGGAAAGACCCCGUGAACCUUUACUACAGCUUGGCACUGAACAUUGACCCUACAUGUGUAGGAUAGGUGGGAGGCUUUGAAGCAGGUACGCCAGUAUCUGUGGAGCCGUCCUUGAAAUACCACCCUUGUAGUGUUGAUGUUCUAACGUCGACCCCUAAUCGGGGUUGCGGACAGUGCCUGGUGGGUAGUUUGACUGGGGCGGUCUCCUCCCAAAGAGUAACGGAGGAGCACGAAGGUGGGCUAAUCACGGUUGGACAUCGUGAGGUUAGUGCAAUGGCAUAAGCCCGCUUGACUGCGAGAAUGACAAUUCGAGCAGGUGCGAAAGCAGGUCAUAGUGAUCCGGUGGUUCUGAAUGGAAGGGCCAUCGCUCAACGGAUAAAAGGUACUCCGGGGAUAACAGGCUGAUACCGCCCAAGAGUUCAUAUCGACGGCGGUGUUUGGCACCUCGAUGUCGGCUCAUCACAUCCUGGGGCUGAAGUCGGUCCCAAGGGUAUGGCUGUUCGCCAUUUAAAGUGGUACGCGAGCUGGGUUUAGAACGUCGUGAGACAGUUCGGUCCCUAUCUGCCGUGGGCGUUGGAAGAUUGAAGGGGGCUGCUCCUAGUACGAGAGGACCGGAGUGGACGAACCUCUGGUGUUCGGGUUGUGUCGCCAGACGCAUUGCCCGGUAGCUAAGUUCGGAAUCGAUAACCGCUGAAAGCAUCUAAGCGGGAAGCGAGCCCUGAGAUGAGUCUUCCCUGAUACUUUAAGUAUCCUAAAGGGUUGUCGGAGACUACGACGUUGAUAGGUCAGGUGUGUAAGUGCUGUGAGGCAUUGAGCUAACUGAUACUAAUUGCCCGUGAGGCUUAACCAUACAACACCCAAGGGGUUU